GAUGAACGCUGGCGGCGUGCCUAAUACAUGCAAGUCGAGCGAACAGACGAGGAGCUUGCUCCUCUGACGUUAGCGGCGGACGGGUGAGUAACACGUGGAUAACCUACCUAUAAGACUGGGAUAACUUCGGGAAACCGGAGCUAAUACCGGAUAAUAUAUUGAACCGCAUGGUUCAAUAGUGAAAGACGGUUUUGCUGUCACUUAUAGAUGGAUCCGCGCCGCAUUAGCUAGUUGGUAAGGUAACGGCUUACCAAGGCAACGAUGCGUAGCCGACCUGAGAGGGGGAUAGGCCACACUGGAACUGAGACACGGUCCAGAGUCCUACGGGAGGCAGCAGUAGGGAAUCUUCCGCAAUGGGCGAAAGCCUGACGGAGCAACGCCGCGUGAGUGAUGAAGGUCUUCGGAUCGUAAAACUCUGUUAUUAGGGAAGAACAAAUGUGUAAGUAACUAUGCACGUCUUGACGGUACCUAAUCAGAAAGCCACGGCUAACUACGUG
rnacentral:rRNA from 1 species